rnacentral:rRNA from 1 species
GAUGAACGCUGGCGGCGUGCCUAAUACAUGCAAGUCGAGCGAACAGACGAGGAGCUUGCUCCUCUGACGUUAGCGGCGGACGGGUGAGUAACACGUGGAUAACCUACCUAUAAGACUGGGAUAACUUCGGGAAACCGGAGCUAAUACCAGAUAAUAUAUUGAACCGCAUGGUUCAAUAGUUAAAGACGGUUUUGCUGUCACUUAUAGAUGGAUCCGCGCCGCAUUAGCUAGUUGGUAAGGUAACGGCUUACCAAGGCAACGAUGCGUAGCCGACCUGAGAGGGUGAUCGGCCACACUGGAACUGAGACACGGUCCAGACUCCUACGGGAGGCAGCAGUAGGGAAUCUUCCGCAAUGGGCGAAAGCCUGACGGAGCAACGCCGCGUGAGUGAUGAAGGUCUUCGGAUCGUAAAACUCUGUUAUUAGGGAAGAACAAAUGUGUAAGUAACUAUGCACGUCUUGACGGUACCUAAUCAGAAAGCCACGGCUAACUACGUG